GAUGAACGCUGGCGGCGUGCCUAAUACAUGCAAGUCGAGCGAACGGACGAGAAGCUUGCUUCUCUGAUGUUAGCGGCGGACGGGUGAGUAACGCGUGGAUAACCUACCUAUAAGACUGGGAUAACUUCGGGAAACCGGAGCUAAUACCGGAUAAUAUUUUGAACCGCAUGGUUCAAAAGUAAAAGACGGUCUUGCUGUCACUUAUAGAUGGAUCCGCGCUGCAUUAGCUAGUUGGUAAGGUAACGGCUUACCAAGGCAACGAUGCAUAGCCGACCUGAGAGGGUGAUCGGCCACACUGGAACUGAGACACGGUCCAGACUCCUACGGGAGGCAGCAGUAGGGAAUCUUCCGCAAAGGGCGAAAGCCUGACGGAGCAACGCCGCGUGAGUGAUGAAGGUCUUCGGAUCGUAAAACUCUGUUAUUAGGGAAGAACAUAUGUGUAAGUAACUGUGCACAUCUUGACGGUACCUAAUCAGAAAGCCACGGCUAACUACGUG
rnacentral:rRNA from 1 species